GUGCCAGCCGCCGCGGUAAUACGUAGGUGGCAAGCGUUGUCCGGAAUUAUUGGGCGUAAAGCGCGCGCAGGCGGGAACUUAAGUCUAUCCUAAAAGUUCGGGGCUCAACCCCGUGAUGGGGUAGAAACUGGGUUUCUUGAGUAUCGGAGAGGAAAGUGGAAUUCCCAGUGUAGCGGUGAAAUGCGUAGAUAUUGGGAGGAACACCAGUGGCGAAGGCGACUUUCUGGACGAUGUCUGACGCUGAGGCGCGAAAGCCAGGGAAGUGAACGGGAUUAGAUACCCCGGUAAUCCUGGCCGUAAACGAUGGGUACUAGGUGUAGAGGGUAUCGACCCCUUCUGUGCCGGAGUUAACGCAAUAAGUACCCCGCCUGGGGAGUACGGCCGCAAGGUUGAA
rnacentral:rRNA from 1 species